rnacentral:rRNA from 1 species
CCCCCACAAUGGGACUGAAACACGGCCCAUACUCCUACGGGAGGCAGCAGCAGGGAAUAUUGCACAAUAGGCGAAAGCCUGAUGCAGCGACGCCGCGUGAGUGAAGAAGGCCUUCGGGUCGUAAAGCUCUGUUGUAGGGGAAGAGGAAGGACGGUACCCUAAGAAGAAGCGUCGGCUAACUACGUGCCAGCAGCCGCGGUAAGGCGUAGGACGCGAGCGUUAUCCGGAAUUACUGGGCGUAAAGGGCCAGCAGGCGGCUUGGUAAGUUGUGCGUGAAAGCCUCGUGCUCAACGCGAGGAAGCCGGACAAUACUGUCAAGCUAGAGGGCAUCAGAGGGGAGUGGAAUUCCCGGAGUAGCGGUAAAAUGCGCAGAUAUCGGGAGGAACACCGAUGGCGAAGGCAGCUCCCUGGGAUGCACCUGACGCUAAGAGGCGAAAGCUAGGGGAGCGAACAGGAUUAGAGACCCUGGUAGUCCUAGCUGUAAACGCUGGGUGCUAGGUGUGGGACGUAGAAGUUCCGUGCCGGAGCAAACGCGAUAAGCACCCCGCCUGGGAAUUACGGUCGCAAGGCUAAAACUCAAACGAAUUGACGGGGCCCCGCACAAGCAGCGGAGCGUGUGGUUCAAUUCGAUGCUACACGAAGAACCUUACCUGGGUUUGACAUGUACGUGGUACGAAGGCGAAAGCCUAAGGACCCUUCGGGGAGCGUACACAGGUGCUGCAUGGCUGUCGUCAGCUCGUGCCGUGAGGUGUCGGGUUAAGUCCCGUAACGAGCGCAACCCUUGCCCUUAGUUACAAGUGUCUAAGGGGACUGCCGGCGGGAAGCCGGAGGAAGCUGGGGAUGACGUCAAGUCAGCAUGGCCCUUAUGUCCAGGGCUACACACACGCUACAAUGGUCAGUACAAAGGGUAGCGAAGUCGCGAGGC